UCCACGCGAGCGAUGAGAACCGGACACAACAAGAAGGAAUGGCGAGCAAUUACUCUGUAGCUGGGCCACGACGCGAUAAAUAUAAAAAACGAGGGGUGAGGGCGAAAAGUUAAAACACGAAGCGGCAUAAAUAUAAAUAUUAUUUUCAUGGAUCUAGAAAACAAAACGUCCACGUGGUACAUUUGGAUGAAGUUUGCGGCUAAGAUAAAUGCGUUAAAGGUGGUGUGCAACUACUUUAUCCUAGUAACACAAACAGAAGAAAAUCCGUUUUUAAUCCCUUUCAAACUCGAGGAAUCUGGGACUUCCACGCCUCUUCCCACCUGCUCCUGACAGUUUGCUUGUCAUUCUUUUUUUUCUGUGAUAUUCGCUGUUUUCUUAGAUCUUCUUUUUUAAUUCUCUAAUCAUGUUUCCUAAUGUGGACCCACCACAAGCGGGAACAAAAGCUGGAUCUUCAGAGCUAACAUUUGCAAAACUGCUUUUUUGCAUCCUUAAUGCCAAGAAAUACACACAUGGAAGCUGAUCAUGACGGGGCUAUAUGUGACAAAGAAAAUGCCCAGUUGGAUACAAGUGUCUUCAUUCAAGCUGUGGCGGUCCUCCCUGGUUCAGCUAGCACAGGCGUGUGGUCUGCUGUCCACCAGAGCUCAAACACAUGUUUGAGCGUAUUUUAGAAGGUGCAAACUCUAAAAAACUAAAACCCAUGGGAGCCAUCAGCCUUUAGUGUUAAGUUUAAGAUAAAAAUAGAGGUAACUAAAUCAGUUUGCUUGGAAUUUAAAAAAACAAAACAUGAUUAGUUUUGCAGGAGAUGGUCUGUAUCUCAUUGUACAACUGUACAGUGACAAUAAAGGCAUUCUAUCUUCUAUCUAUCUAUCUAAACUGUUGUGCAAAAGUCUUGAACCACCCAUUUAUUUGUUUUUGCUAUGGAAAUGGAUGCAAUGAUUUAUUACAGUGUGCAAGUAUACAUGGAAAUAUAGUAAACAGAGUUUUCUACAAGUCUAAUGACCUUGAAAGGCAACAUUUGGUAUGAGCAACUUCAUUCUUCAACACAGUCUAAACUUACUGAGACGGCUUUCUGUUGGCAACAAAGCAGGAACAAAUUGUUUCUUUGCUAAGUUGCCCCCUAUGGGUAUAACACUGGUUAAGCCCAGGGACAUAAACAAUACAUAAACAACUUUGAAAGACUUUCAGAAAGCCUGAAAAACUAUUGCCCAAGAUGGCUUUUAAACAUUAAAAGAAAGCCUGGAUGCUCGGAAGCAAAAUAUAAAGAAAUGAAGCAUGGCUCAAGAUUUUUGCACAGUACUGUACGUACUUUCUUCUCAUAUACGUUUACUUUGACAGCGCUGAUUUUUACCACAUAAUGUCAGUUACUUUAAAAUGGUAUGUUUUAUUAUUGACUGUUAAAAAUGAAUGUAUUUAAUUUUGCAGCACUGGAUGGAAAGUCUGUGCAUAAAAGUCGCUAGAGUUAAGAUUUUUAUAACAUUCAUAAAAGUAUAGCACUGAGGCAGGAAGAAUAAAAUGCGUGUCUGUUACAUUACAUUGAUUUAAUGGGACAGAGUCAAAGUCCGAUUUUAACUUGUUUCAAAAAACUUUCCAAAGUUUCCAAGUGAGUGAAAUUCUACAUGUGGUGAUUUUGACAAACUCAGCAUUUUUCCACAGUUUUUGUUGCUCACAGACUGUGUUCAUGUUAUUCAGUUCUGAUUCAGCCCUCCACAGAACAGAGAGCGAUACUGGAAACAGCCAGCUGUUUGACUUAACCAACAUUUUGUUGCUUUUAGGUGUUUGAUUGAUGCUGCGUAAAUUAAUAUAAAAUGUUGGAUUUAUUGAAGCCAAAUAUAUUGAUUUAAUAAAUCAAAACUACAUCAUUUAACUGACAGAUGUGUGGCGGAGGGGACUGAAGUGUGGGUCCUCAGAGGACCGGGGAGUCACCUGCUGUCAGGGUGUGCUGCAGAAAUGAUAUUCUGAGCUUUAGUUUUGUGCCUGAUCAGUGUUUAAGUGGGAGAAACACUGAAAUACUCACAAAUAAAGCUCUGUAGAAUUUCCUUUUUGACUCAUUAAUCCUUUAAUAGUAGCUGCUGUUGUAUUGUAAAAGCUAUGAGCUGAUUUAGAAUCAAAUUACACACAUUUUCAAAGCACAAAGCCUUAAACUCAGACACAUUCAUCACACUGGCAGCUGUUCUGUGAUGGAGAGUAAUACACAUUUUAUAUGUAUUUUACUGUCAUCUGUUAGUUUCACAUCAUUUUCACAGUAAGAGUCCAAACACUGGGUCAACAUUAAGGGGGUAACUCACAGCUGAGUCUUUUGCUCUCUUCCACAGGCCGUCUUUGUCCAGUCUUCUUCCCUUCACCCCCAGCCAGUUGUGGUUGGGGACGAGGGGCCUGAUUCUGCCAGACAUGCUCCCUCUUGGCCAUAUGUUCCGAAAAUAUAAUAUUUAAUUGUUAUGCUGAUGACACCCAGCUCUACAUUUCCUCCAAACCUAAUUCAUCCCUUCCACCUACCUUCCUCUCGAACUGCCUUAUGGAGAUUAGAUCAUGGUUCUCCUACAAACUUAACAGUAAUAAAACAGAAGUUUUACUUGUUGGUACAGCCUCUAUCUUAACCAAAUUUCACAGUUUCUCCAUUAAUAUUGACAAUUCCCCCACCCUUCCUUCCCCACAGGUAAAGAGUUUGGGUGUCAUACUUGACAGUACUCUCUCAUUUCAGUCUCACAUUAAUUACAUAACCCGGUCUGCGUACUUUCACUUGCGUAACAUUAACCGACUUCGUCCCUUCCUUACUCCCCAUGGUGCUGCAAUCUUUGUCCAUAGUCUUAUUACUUCCUGGAUCGAUUAUUGCAGCUCCCUCUUGUUUGCUCUCCCCAAUAAGUCCUUCCAUAAACUUCAACUUCUUCAGAAUUCUGCAGCUCAGGUCAUAACUUGUACUCCCUUAAGAGACCAUAUUACCAAUUCUUCAACAGCUUCACUGGUUGCCCAUAGAAGCCAGGAUAAGCUUUGAAAUCUUAGUUCUCACGUUUAAGUGCAUUCAUAACCUUGACCCUCCUUAUCUCUGUGAUCUGCUUCAUAUCACCACAGUUUCCCGCUCUCUCAGAUCUUCAUCUACCACUCAUCUUGUUGUUCCUUCUGCUCGUCUCAUCACUGUGGGGCACAGAGCUUUCAGUCGCGCUGCUCUGGAGCUCACUUCCUUCCAUCUUAACAAAUAUAGAUUCUCUUCUCUUAUUUAAGUCACAGCUCAAAACUUACUUGUUUAAACUGGGUUACUCGCUUUAAUACAGAUCCUACUUGCUGUCAAAUCUUGUUUAUUUGUUUGUUUGUUUUUAUUUGUUGUUUUUUCAUUUUAAUUAAUUUUAAUCUACUGUUUUAUUGAUAUCUUUUUCUCUUUGUAAGGUGACCUUGGGUUUUAGAAAGGCACCCUCAAAUAAAAUGCAUUAUUGUUAUUAUUAUUAGAGGUUUCCUCCUGUAAAAAGGGAGUUUUUCCUUCCCACUGUCAGCAGAGUGCUAGCUCAUAGGGGUUCGUCUGAUUGUUGGGGUCUUUCUGUUUUCUCUGUAUUAUUGUAGGGUCCUUAUCUUACAGUAUACAGUGACUUAAGGCAAAUGUUGUUGUGCUUUGUUGCUAUACAGAUAUUAAAAUAUAUAUUUUAAAUUGAAUCUCACAUGUUUAUAGAAGCAGAAUGUCAACCAGUAUUCAAUUGAUUUUGUUUGGUGUUUAUUUCUGAUAUAAUUUUCUGAUGUCCGGUAACCCUUCUGGGGGGCACGUGCCACCCCAUUUGUAAAAUCCUGGAAACACCUCUGCUCAUCUUACAUGAUUUGAGUUCUUUAUAUUUCUCAAAAUUAAUCUCCACUUACAGACUAGAUUCCUCUAUGUUCUCCUCCUGCUUCUUUCUGCAGGUAGUAGCAUAAAGUCUGCAUUAUUCAUUAUCGCCAUAGGAAGAUGGUACACCUGUAUACAACUCAAACUCAUGAAUGAUGCAUCACAUCUUUAUGGUGCUGCGGCAUCUAUACAGCGAGUGAUGGGUGUGGCUGGAGUUGUCAGAUGCUGCACAGCCAACACUUCAGAAAGUAAUUAUAGAUGUUUUUAAGCCUCUGUCCAAGGGAGAGUUGUUCAUGUUGCUCUUCACAUCGACCAACUUCCGCACACGCCACUCGUCAGCAACACUACAAAUUUACUUGGACUUUCUCUUGAUGCUGAGAAUUAUAAUUCUCUUUAGUCCCUCCUUUAAAACAAGAAUGUGGCUUUCAAGGUACUCUGUGUAUUGUGUCAACAUCAAGGAUCAUUAAAAGCCAUGAAAUUAGUGACUCAUUGGUUUCACUGUAAUAACAGUGUAUGUUUAGCUAUUCUAAUAACAAGCCAAUCAAAUGUCCUUAUGCAGUGAGGUCAGUGGUGAUCAUAAGACAGAGGGGGUCAGACAGGCCUGUAAAAACUAA